AAGCCAUCAUAAAGGAACUGAGGAAUAUUUCCCCACUGUGUUCUGAGGGUCUCAAUAACUCUGAUAUUUAAAAUGAGUUGGUUCUGAAAAAUAGACUACUGCCAUUUAGUUGAUGAGUAAAACAGGAGCCAAGAAGUGGGCAAAUUGCAAACUGACGUACACAAGCCAAGCACAUUCUCUGAAAUGACAACGUUCAAGACGCAGCUAAAGUCACCACUCUGGCGGUAAGCGUGUUACAAAGAACUAGAUUUCUUUCUGGCAUCCGCAACUUGGCUGGAGUGACCACGGACGAGUUAAGGAGCGCUGGAAACGCGAGGAUCCACUGAACCCAAGAACGUGGACCCUUCCCCUCUCCACUCCAGAGUUUCAAAGGGAAGUAAAAACUGCAAGCAAAGACUCCGCAUUGCUCACAACAUCUCCAGCUCUGUGCCUGAUUAUAUUAUGUGCUCCUUAAAUACUGGCUGAAUAAACAAAUGAACCUCCUACCCUCAAAUGGAUGACUCGACAGAGAACCUCUUUGACGGCUCCAGUUCCCCGGGAAGUCUUGCUCUUUGAGUAAUGGAUGCAUUUGGUCCUCAUUGAUUUUCUUAGAGGAGACACCUUAUGGGAUAAUGACGAAGAGCCUUGGCUCUGGGCACAAACUCCAGCUCCACCACUUCCUAAUUUUGAAGUUUGCACAAGUUCCUUAACUUCUCUGAACUUCCGUUUCUUUGCUGCUAAAACGGGGAUGUCAUGAUCUAUUUUCUGCUGCUAUCACAGAAUGCCACCGAGAGAGAAAAGGACAAACAAUGGAAGUUGAUUUGGCUCAAAGUCCUGCAGGAUGGUGAAUACGAGAUCAAGGGGCCACAUCUGGGGAGGGCCUCUUGCUGUGUCUAAGCAUGGCGAAGGCAUCACAAGGUGAGAGAGAAUGAAAGAGAGAGAGAAAGGGAGAAAGAAAGGCCAAACUCCCUCUCUUUAGAACUUCUGUGACAACAUUGAUCCAUUUAAGAGGACUGAGAUCUCAUGACCUCGUCACCUCUUAAAGGUCCCACCUCUUAAUACUCCUACAAUAGCAAGUCAUCGCGACAUUAGUUUUUGUGAGACAUUUAGACCACAGUCGGGGAUAAUGGUCAUCCCCAUCUCCUUUGUUAUCAGCAAAUUGGGCGAGAUAAAGCCGAGAAGAGCUUCGUGUAGCAAGUGUUCUAUGAACGUCUGUUGCUUUGCUCAUAUGCAUUGAACCAUGACCACAUUUUAAAGCCCUUUCAUUAAUUUGUUUAUUCCUCCCAAACACACUAUGAAGUCAUUACUAUUGCUAGUCCCAUGUUACAGAUGAGAAAACGGAGGCACAGACAGGUUGGAUGACUUGCCCAAAUCACACAGAGUGGCAGAGCCAGGGUUCAAAUCCAAUCCACCUGAAUCCCAAAGGGUUGCUUGCCCUUGUUCUAAGUGUCUUUCCCUGCAUAGAGAUGCAGUUUUUAAGUCCUUUGAGAGUCAGGAAUGAGGUCCACCCUUCCCAGCCUCCAGCACAGCACCUGCACUUGGAGUAGCUCACAUCCAUCUGUUAAUUCAUUCUCUCGUUCUUCCUCUGUCCUGAUCCAGGAUAGAAUGUUCUAGAGAGAUUUCCUCCUGGCCAGGGGUAAUCACCUAUGAACACCUUUGUGUCUUAGAGAAAGGGACAGGAAGGAAAAAAGAAAAGGAGAGAAGCAUAAGGAGGAGGUGCAUGCUCAAAAGGCAGCGGUGGAAUCAGAGCUGACCUCCUUCUGGUCCCUGCCUCCCGGGGAGCACCAACCCCACCACCAGUGAGCGGCUCUGAGCGCCCGACCAAAUGCAGGCUAACUCCACUGAUUGUCUGUAACACGAUUGUCCCUCUUAAUCAAAGUGAUGUCAUUCUCUGAUUU